ensembl:lncRNA
GUCAGGGGUGUAGCCAUGGGAGGGUCUGGGAGGGUCAGGGGUGUAGCCAUGGGAGGGUCUGGGAGGGUCUGGGGUGUAGCCAUGGGAGGGUCUGGGAGGGUCUGGGGUGUAGCCAUGAGAGGGUCUGGGAGGGCAGGGGUGUAGUAAUGGGAGGGUCUGGGGUGUAGCCAUGGGAGGGUCUGGGGUGUAGCCAUGGGAGGGUCUGGGGUGUAGCCAUGGGAGGGUCUGGGGUGUAGCCAUGGGAGGGUCUGGGAGGGUCUGGGGUGUAGCCAUGGGAGGGUCUGGGGUGGCAGGGGUGUAGUAAUGGGAGGGUCUGGGGUGUAGCCAUGAGAGGGCAGGGGUGUAGUAAUGGGAGGGUCUGGG